GAAACGACUUCAUCAGAGCCCAGGUCUGAGGCCCGCUUCGAGGUCCGAAACAAAGGCAUUCUAAUUAAAAUUCCCAAGUGUCAAAAAUUUUAUUUAUUUCUUUGCCAAAGGGAGGAUUGCCAGGGCUGAGAGCCGAGUGGCAGCUCUGUUAAAAUCAAAUUGCCGCAUCGUUAACACCCCAGGGAAAGUCGAUUGGAUUUUGGAAUUGGCAUUGGAAUUGGCAUCGUAUAAGAACUGGGUUUCACUGGUUAAUCGAUGACUGAUUGUCCAGCCACACAGCAACACAGGGGAGAGGAGAUGUGGUGUCAAAGUGGAGGUGGUUUGCUGUCUAGGGUAUGCUCUCUAUUAAAACGAUUAUGAUAAGCCAAUCCACCCCUGGUUUCGGCCACUUCUAGCCACCCUCAAACACAAGCUUCGAGCCCCCCGCUAGGGACAAUGCCCAAAGUGGUAGAGCCAUCAAUUUUCUAUGUUUAUGGCCAGGCCGUCUUGUGGGUCAGCAGGUGGAAAUCUAGCUGGUCUCUCCUCUGAUUCAUGCAUAAUUGGCUGAUGUCGGACAUUUGGUAAUACACGACAAAUGCGCUCCAAGUAUGUCGAAGAAGACAUCAUCGAAUUGAAUAUGCAAAGCAUCAACGCAUUUUUAUUUGCCACAGUGGGUGGCAUUCUCAAUGGGAACACCGCAGCAGCACGGCGACAGCACCACACUAAUGGAAACUUGCGUAGCUAUUUAAUUGAUUUGUGCCAAAAGCUUUAUAGGUUUUUAAAGCCAGCCCGAACACAGGGCUGAAUAAAUGGAUUCGAUUGUUGGCCAGGCCCAGGCCCACUCCCAGUCGCCAUCGCAGGUAGGAGGGGGACAGAGACCCCCCGCCUGAUGAGCGGGCCUAAUUAUGGAACGACCAAAAUGGCAAAUUAGCAUAAAAUUUAGCAACAUUAAAAAUUAUACUUUAUUGUGCUCCAA